GGGGCUAUAACUCAGUUGGUAGAGUGUCACAAUGGCAUUGUGAAAGCCACCGGUUCGAGCCCGGUUAGCUCCA
rnacentral:tRNA from 1 species